AUGAACUUUGUAGUUAAUUGUAGUUACUUGUAGGUACAUAUAGACGAUUACAAGGUUCGUGCACUUGACAAGUUUACAACUUCUUCAAGCAAGAAUGCGAUACUUUCCAGUGUGAGGAAGGACUAAUGAACAAGACAAGAUUACAAACAACACUUUUAAACAAAGAACUGAUAAUCUGAAAAAUAGAAUGAACAAAACAAGAUUACAACUGACACUUUAAACCAAGAACAAUAAUAAAAAAUAGAUCAAAAGAAUGAAAUAAUCUCGAAAGAAAAAUCUGAAAAUUGAAUGAACUCGGAUUUGAACUAUUAGAGGUUGGAUGGACUGUAGUGAGUGUUGUUGCUCAUUCAUAGACGAGCUGGCACUCGGACAGCAGCAGUGGUCGUCGUCCAUGGUUGUGACUAUGGAGUUUCGCCACUGCUCGCCAGGUUGACGACGGACAGCAACUGGAGGGGAACCGGCGGGGGGAGGGGGGGCUCGUCUGGUUCAUUGAACAACUGGAGGCGGGGUUGACAAUUUUAGCUGGUCGUGGAGGUUGACGAUAGCCGGAGAAGGUAGUGAUCGUUUGGCUAUGGAGCUGGCGACUGGUUCAAGGGUGGCUGGAGAAGACGACGAAGCACCAACGAUGAAGGGUGAAAUGAAACCUUAAGAUGUGGCAUGCUAUUACUGAAAGACUGAUGAUUGUGUUAAUUUAGAGGCUUUAGUUAUCGAACUGAAAGACAUGAGCCUCUUUCCAUUGUAAAUCACAAUCAGUUGCUUACUGAAAGACUGAUGAUUAUGUAAAAUAUAUGAAAAGAUCU
rnacentral:lncRNA from 1 species